AUCCCCAGCUCCAUCGUCUCCGACCGCGAUCGUGUCUUCACCAGCGCACUCUGGCGUGAACUCUUAGCCAGCACGGGCACCAAGCUGCUCCUCUCCACAGCGUACCACCCCUAGACGGAUGGCCAGAGCGAACGCGUCAACCAGUGCAUGGAGAUGUACUUGCGUUGCGUCGUGCACGAGGCGCCCUGGCAAUGGUGUCGAUGGCUACCUAUAGCGGAAUUCUGGUACAACUCGUUGUUCCACUCCUCGAUCAAAUGUACCCCCUUCAAAGCUCUUUAUGGCGUUGAGCCCAACCUGGGCACCAUGACACUCUGGGACGACAAGACGGUGCCCAUGAUUGACGGCGAUCCCUGGGACUGGGGACUGCACACGGCGCGCCCGCAUGAGCAAAUCCUUCGCGCCCAGCACCGAUUCAAGAAACAGGUCGAUCAACAUCGCUCAAAGCGCUCCUUCGUGGUGGGCGACGCUGUUCUCCUCAAGCUCCAGCCCUACGCGCAGUCGUCCGUGGCAAACAGACCCUGCGCCAAGCUGGCGUACAAGUACUUCGGACCAUUCUCGGUGAUCGACAAGAUUGGCAAGCUGGCGUACAAACUGGAGUUACCGGCGGACAAUAAGAUCCACCCAGUCUUCCACGUAUCACAGCUCAAGCCAUUCACCCCCAAUUACACACCAGUCUUCUUCGAGCUGCCACGACCCCCUGAUCUCGCAGGCCAUGACGACGAACCGGUGGAGAUCGUGGAGCGUCGAUGGUCAAGCACGGCGCCAGCGCUCUGUUGCAAGUCAAGGUGUGAUGGCGCAAUGACGAGACGACGACCACUUGGGAAGACUACGACACCCUUCGCCGCCGCUUUCCGCAAGCACCGGCGUGGGACGCACCAUCGGUCGGCGACGGAGGCCAGCUCGAAGCAUCUGAAGAAGACGCUCGUUCUGAAGGAAUGGGAAAUGUCACACCGGCAUCACCAGGAGAUGAUGCGGUGGGCGUGUGAUGUGGUGGACCCCAAUGCCUGGUGGCACGAACCCACCUGUAAGGCGAGUUGCCAUGUGUGGCGCGGCUAUUUAGCCAGCUGGAACCAGUAG
rnacentral:rRNA from 1 species